GGGGGGGGGGGGGGGGGUGCGUAGGGCAUGCGGGGCGGGGGGGGGGGGCCUGGUUGCCGGGUACUCGAGUGGGGACCGGGGGGGUAACCCGUGGGUGAUGUGCGCUGCCCUUCGGGAUGAGCCUGGGAAACUGGGUCUAAUAACGGAUAGGCUCGCUUUUUAGUGGGAUAGUUGGACAGUGUUUUAGGUUGAGGAUGGGCUCGCGGCGUCUCAGCUUUGUGGUGGGGUCAUGGCCUACCACGGCGGCGACGGGUAGCCGGCCUGAGAGGGUGGACGGCCACAUUGGGACUGAGAUACGGCCCAGACUCCUACGGGAGGCAGCAGUGGGGAAUAGUGCACAAUGGGCGCAAGCCUGAUGCAGCGACGCCGCGUGGGGGAUGACGGCCUUCGGGUUGUAAACUCCUUUCGCUAGGGACGAAGCUUUUUGUGACGGUACCUAGAUAAGAAGCACCGGCUAACUACGUG
rnacentral:rRNA from 1 species